rnacentral:rRNA from 1 species
GGAUUAUUGGACAAUGGGCGCAUGCCUGAUCCAGCAAUGCCGCGUGGGUGAAGAAGGUCUUCGGAUCGUAAAGCCCUUUCGACGGGGACGAUGAUGACGGUACCCGUAGAAGAAGCCCCGGCUAACUUCGUGCCAGCAGCCGCGGUAAUACGAAGGGGGCUAGCGUUGCUAGGAAUUACUGGGCGUAAAGGGCGCGUAGGCGGUCAUUUUAGUCAGGCGUGAAAUUCCCGGGCUUAACCUGGGGACUGCGCUUGAUACUGGGUGACUUGAGGGUGGAAGAGGGUCGUGGAAUUCCCAGUGUAGAGGUGAAAUUCGUAGAUAUUGGGAAGAACACCGGUGGCGAAGGCGGCGACCUGGUCCAUUACUGACGCUGAGGCGCGACAGCGUGGGGAGCAAACA